GAUGAACGCUAGCUACAGGCUUAACACAUGCAAGUCGAGGGGUAACGAGAGGGAAGCUUGCUUUCCUUGUCGACGACCGGCGCACGGGUGAGUAACGCGUAUCCAACCUGCCCCCAACUAAGGAAUAACCUUGCGAAAGUAAGACUAAUACCUUAUAAUUUCCUCAGAUGUCAUCUGACGAGGAAUAAAGAUUUAUCGGUUGUGGAUGGGGAUGCGUCUGAUAGCUUGUUGGCGGGGUAACGGCCCACCAAGGCAACGAUCAGUAGGGGUUCUGAGAGGAAGGUCCCCCACAUUGGAACUGAGACACGGUCCAAACUCCUACGGGAGGCAGCAGUGAGGAAUAUUGGUCAAUGGGCGAAAGCCUGAACCAGCCAAGUAGCGUGCAGGAUGACGGCCCUAUGGGUUGUAAACUGCUUUUAUACAGGAAUAAAGUUAGCCACGUGUGGUUAUUUGUAGGUAUUGUAUGAAUAAGGACCGGCUAAUUCCGUGCCAGCCGCCGCGGUAA
rnacentral:rRNA from 1 species